GAUGAACGCUAGCGAUAGGCUUAACACAUGCAAGUCGAGGGGCAGCACAUGAGUGGCAACACGAUGGUGGCGACCGGCGCACGGGUGAGUAACACGUAUGCGACCUGCCCGUAACUGGGGGAUAACCCGUCGAAAGGCGGACUAAUACCGCAUGACACCGCAUUCCUGCAUGGGGACGCGGUUAAAGAUUUAUCGGUUACGGAUGGGCAUGCGUUCCAUUAGGUAGUUGGCAGGGUAACGGCCUACCAAGCCUACGAUGGAUAGGGGUUGUGAGAAGAAGGGCCCCCACACUGGUACUGAGACACGGACCAGACUCCUACGGGAGGCAGCAGUGAGGAAUAUUGGUCAAUGGGCGAGAGCCUGAACCAGCCAAAUCGCGUGAAGGAUGAAGGUAUUAUGUAUUGUAAACUUCUUUUGGCAGGGAAUAAAGUGCGGGACGUGUCCCGUUUUGUAUGUACCUGAAGAAUAAGGAUCGGCUAACUCCGUGCCAGCAGCCGCCGCAGUAA
rnacentral:rRNA from 1 species